rnacentral:rRNA from 1 species
GCGACCCCAGGAUGGGCGAGGCCACCCGCUGAGUUUAGC